GAUGAACGCUGGCGGCGUGCCUAAUACAUGCAAGUCGAGCGAACAGACGAGGAGCUUGCUCCUCUGACGUUAGCGGCGGACGGGUGAGUAACACGUGGAUAACCUACCUAUAAGACUGGGAUAACUUCGGGAAACCGGAGCUAAUACCGGAUAAUAUAUUGAACCGCAUGGUUCAAUAGUGAAAGACGGUUUUGCUGUCACUUAUAGAUGGAUCCGCGCCGCAUUAGCUAGUUGGUAAGGUAACGGCUUACCAAGGCGACGAUGCGUAGCCGACCUGAGAGGGUGAUCGGCCACACUGGAACUGAGACACGGUCCAGACUCCUACGGGGGGCAGCAGUAGGGAAUCUUCCGCAAUGGGCGAAAGCCUGACGGAGCAACGCCGCAUGAGUGAUGAAGGUCUUCGGAUCGUAAAACUCUGUUAUUAGGGAAGAACAAAUGUGUAAGUAACUAUGCACGUCUUGACGGUACCUAAUCAGAAAGCCACGGCUAACUACGUG
rnacentral:rRNA from 1 species